ensembl:lncRNA
CUGCCACUGCGCUGUCUCUCCAGCGCGGGCCCAGACCCGCCGUGUUUCCCAGGAGGGAACAAGCAUCGAAGGCGUUGGAAGGGGAGGGGGGAUGAGUGAGUGCUUAUCAGUUUUAAAAGAGAGUAGAAAAUUCUUCUACAGCAACUCCACCACACAGAAAGUCAUGUGGGUGAUGUGGGUAGUCCUGAUAUGGAUCAAUAUCUGCUUCUUCCUUCCCGUGACCAUACUGUUCUUCUGCUGUGUGUGUUGUGCGGGGCGGAGAUAUCAGGUUCCUGUCAUCUAUUACACAAACCUCAUCAUCUCCAUUCUGAUCCAUCACAGCACAAUGUUCGCUUGGUGGGGAAUAGUGCACGGCACCAUUGCAUGUUUCUUUUACUAUUUGGCUGUGACGGCCAGUCUUUACUUCAGGUUGUGCAUUGCUUUGGAAAGGUAUUGUUUCAUCGCCUGCCCACUGUUGGACUGCCUCAGACAAACUGAGGGUUCUGUACUGGUGCAGAAGAGUCAGGUCUCUAUCAUCUAUUACACAAAUCUCCUCAUCACCAAACUAAUCCACAUCUGCAUAAUGACCAUUUGGGUGACAAGAGUGGAAAGCAUCAUCACCAUCAUUAUUUAUUACUGUGUUAUGAUGGCCAACCUUUACUUCAGGAUGUGCAUUGCUCUGGAAAGGUAUUUUUCCAUCAUGCACCCACUGCUGGACUGUCUCG